rnacentral:guide_RNA from 1 species
AAAACAUGCAUAGAGUGUAGUAAGUUCAGUGAAAGUGAUAUAGU